rnacentral:rRNA from 1 species
ACAAAAACAUCUGUUAUUGAACAUAAUAAUAGCUAUUACCUGCUCAAUGUCUAAAUAAAUAGCCGCAGGUAUACCUGUGCUAAGGUAGCAUAAUCCUUCGUCCAUUAAUUGUGGUCUUGCAUGAACGGUAUGACGAGAAGAUCUCUGUCUCUAUUAGGUUGAAUAAAAAUUGGACUGGUAGUAAAAAUCCUUCCAUAUCCUAGACGGACGAAAAGACCCUGUGAAUCUUAACUAAUUUUGAAAGCAAGCCUUUUACAAUAAGUUUACCUGGGAAGGGACUAACUACAAACGUUAUGUUAAAUUAAAAAUACAGCUAUUAAUCUAAAUCAAGGAGUAUAAACUCACUAUUAGAAUAGUUACUCCAGGGAUAACAGUGUAAUACCACCUACAUCAGCACACAUGAGUAGAGGGGAUUACAACCUCGAUGUUGAAUUAAGGUUAGACUUGGAUAGCAGAAUUUCAAUAUUCUUGGUUUGUUCAACCAUUAAAACCUUACGUGAUCUGA